rnacentral:rRNA from 1 species
CCUACGGGAGGCAGCAGUAGGGAAUCUUCGGCAAUGGACGAAAGUCUGACCGAGCAACGCCGCGUGAGUGAAGAAGGUUUUCGGAUCGUAAAGCUCUGUUGUAAGAGAAGAACGAGUGUGAGAGUGGAAAGUUCACACUGUGACGGUAUCUUACCAGAAAGGGACGGCUAACUACGUGCCAGCAGCCGCGGUAAUACGUAGGUCCCGAGCGUUGUCCGGAUUUAUUGGGCGUAAAGCGAGCGCAGGCGGUUAGAUAAGUCUGAAGUUAAAGGCUGUGGCUUAACCAUAGUACGCUUUGGAAACUGUUUAACUUGAGUGCAAGAGGGGAGAGUGGAAUUCCAUGUGUAGCGGUGAAAUGCGUAGAUAUAUGGAGGAACACCGGUGGCGAAAGCGGCUCUCUGGCUUGUAACUGACGCUGAGGCUCGAAAGCGUGGGGAGCAAACAGGAUUAGAUACCCCAGUAGUC